UACGAAAAUUUCACGGCAUGCCCG
rnacentral:siRNA from 1 species